UUGCGUACAAUCAGUUAUUUCACUUAUGAAAUGGUCAAUAACCAGAAGAAAAUUGCCACGGAGGGCAAUUUUAGGAAGCAUAGGCAUGGAUGCCGUUGCUUCCGGCUCGUCCGGUUCCAUUAUUUUACCCAUUUCAUUAGUGAAAUCUGAUUGGAAGCUC
rfam:Lachnospiraceae bacterium 28-4 genomic scaffold acPFn-supercont1.2, whole genome shotgun sequence.